AGCCACAGCCAUAUCACCCUGCAACCCAAGACUGAUUACUCACUGAAGCUGAGCAGAGCCUGGUCAGUACCUGGAUGGGAGACCACACGGGAACACUAGGUUGCUGUUGGAA
rnacentral:rRNA from 1 species